rnacentral:rRNA from 1 species
UACGAAGGGGGCUAGCGUUGCACGGAAUCACUGGGCGUAAAGGGUGCGUAGGCGGGUCUUUUAAGUCAGGGGUGAAAUCCUGGAGCUCAACUCCAGAACUGCCUUUGAUACUGAAGAUCUUGAGUUCGGGAGAGGUGAGUGGAACUGCGAGUGUAGAGGUGAAAUUCGUAGAUAUUCGCAAGAACACCAGUGGCGAAGGCGGCUUACUGGUCCGGUUCUGACGCUGAGGCGCGAAAGCGUGGGGAGCAAACAGG